rnacentral:rRNA from 1 species
GAUGAACGCUGGCGGCGUGCUUAACACAUGCCAGUCGAACGGAAAGUCUCUUGCUUGCUGGGGUACUCGAGUGGCGAACGGGUGAGUAACACGUGGGUGAUCUGCCCUUUACUUCGGGAUACGUUUGGGAAACUGGGUCUAAUACCGGAUAGGACGAUUGCUUGGAUGUUAUUGUGGAAAGUUUUUCGGUGUGGGAUGAGGUCUGUGCCUAUCAGCUUGUUGGUGGGGUAAUGGCCUACCACGGCAUCGUCGGGUAGCCGGCCUGAGAGGGGGUACGGCCACAUUGGGACUGAGAUACGGCCCAGACUCCUACGGGAGGCAGCAGUGGGGAAUAUUGCACAAUGGGCGGAAGCCUGAUGCAGCGACGCCGCGUGGGGGAUGACGGCCUUCGGGUUGUAAACUACGUUCGCUAGGGACGAAGCGCGAGUGACGGUACCUGGAAAAGAAGCACCGGCUAACUACGUG